AGAGUUUGAUCCUGGCUCAGGAUGAACGCUGGCGGCGUGCUUAACACAUGCAAGUCGAACGGAACUCAUUGGAUCAAGACUUCGGUCAAGUGAAUUUGAGUUUAGUGGCGGACGGGUGAGUAACGCGUGAGGAACCUGCCUCGGAGUGGGGAAUAACAGUUAGAAAUGACUGCUAAUACCGCAUAAUGCAUAUUGAUCGCAUGGUUGAUGUGCCAAAGAUUUAUCGCUCUGAGAUGGCCUCGCGUCUGAUUAGCUAGUUGGCGGGGUAACGGCCCACCAAGGCGACGAUCAGUAGCCGGACUGAGAGGUUGGCCGGCCACAUUGGGACUGAGACACGGCCCAGACUCCUACGGGAGGCAGCAGUGGGGAAUAUUGGGCAAUGGGCGCAAGCCUGACCCAGCAACGCCGCGUGAAGGAAGAAGGCUUUCGGGUUGUAAACUUCUUUUAAGAGGGACGAAGAAUGACGGUACCUCUUGAAUAAGCCACGGCUAACUACGUGCCAGCAGCCGCGGUAAUACGUAGGUUGCAAGCGUUGUCCGGAUUUACUGGGUGUAAAGGGCGUGUAGGCGGAGCUGCAAGUCAGAUGUGAAAUCCCGGGGCUCAACCCCGGAACUGCAUUUGAAACUGUAGCCCUUGAGUAUCGGAGAGGCAAGCGGAAUUCCUAGUGUAGCGGUGAAAUGCGUAGAUAUUAGGAGGAACACCAGUGGCGAAGGCGGCUUGCUGGACGACAACUGACGCUGAGGCGCGAAAGCGUGGGGAGCAAACAGGAUUAGAUACCCUGGUAGUCCACGCUGUAAACGAUGAAUACUAGGUGUGGGAGGACUGACCCCUUCCGUGCCGCAGUUAACACAAUAAGUAUUCCACCUGGGGAGUACGACCGCAAGGUUGAAACUCAAAGGAAUUGACGGGGGCCCGCACAAGCAGUGGAUUAUGUGGUUUAAUUCGAAGCAACGCGAAGAACCUUACCUGGUCUUGACAUCCCUCUGACCGGUCAGUAAUGUGACUUUUCCUUCGGGACAGAGGAGACAGGUGGUGCAUGGUUGUCGUCAGCUCGUGUCGUGAGAUGUUGGGUUAAGUCCCGCAACGAGCGCAACCCCUAUCCUUAGUAGCCAGCGGCCAGGCCGGGCACUCUAGGGAGACUGCCGGGGAUAACCUGGAGGAAGGUGGGGAUGACGUCAAAUCAUCAUGCCCCUUAUGAUUUGGGCUACACACGUGCUACAAUGGCGUAAACAAAGGGAAGCGACCCCGUGAGGGUGAGCAAAUCCCAAAAAUAACGUCUCAGUUCGGAUUGUAGUCUGCAACUCGACUACAUGAAGCUGGAAUCGCUAGUAAUCGCGAAUCAGAAUGUCGCGGUGAAUACGUUCCCGGGUCUUGCACUCACCGCCCGU
rnacentral:rRNA from 1 species